rnacentral:rRNA from 1 species
UACGUAGGGUGCAAGCGUUGUCCGGAUUUAUUGGGCGUAAAGAGCUCGUAGGCGGCUCAGCAAGUCAGGUGUGAAACCUCCAGGCUUAACCUGGAGGCGCCACCUGAUACUGCUGUGGCUGGAGUCCGGUAGGGGAGCAGGGAAUAUCCGGUGUAGCGGUGAAAUGCGUAGAUAUCUGGAGGAACACCGGUGGCGAAGGCGGCAUCCUGGACCGGUAUUGACGCUGAGGCGCGAAAGCUAGGGGAGCAAACGGG